UACGAAGGGGGCUAGCGUUGUUCGGAUUUACUGGGCGUAAAGCGCACGUAGGCGGAUCUUUAAGUCAGAGGUGAAAUCCCAAGGCUCAACCUUGGAACUGCCUUUGAUACUGGGGAUCUUGAGUCCGGGAGAGGUGAGUGGAACUGCGAGUGUAGAGGUGAAAAUUCGUAGAUAUUCGCAAGAACACCAGUGGCGAAGGCGGCUCACUGGCCCGGUACUGACGCUGAGGUGCGAAAGCGUGGGGAGCAAACAGGG
rnacentral:rRNA from 1 species